ACAGUGGUGGACAGUAACGAAGUAAAUGUAAUUCGUUACUGUACUUAAGUAGUUUUUUGGCGUAUCUGUACUUUACUCAAGUACUUUUAUUUUGGGAGACUUUUACUUUUACUUUACUACAUUUUAAAGUCAAAUAUCUUACUUUUCACUCUACUACAUUUUGAAAAUUCGGUCGUUCCUUUUUAUUUAUCAGUGGAUAAAAAACUUAACUGGAUAAAAUAAAGCUGCAAAAAAAAAAAAAAAAAAAAAAACCGCACACGUGAUGCGUCAAACCACCAAUCAGGGUACAGCAUGCGCUUUUAAACUUGUUUUGGUUGCCGCGCUGGUUCACGAAAGCUAAGAGAGUGCAGCAGCCAGCGUAUCGUUUGGAGAAUAAAACUGCAUUUAAAAACAACGGAGGAAAUUACUUGACCCGCCACAACAACAAUGGCCUUAUUUACGCGAGUUUUUUAAGUCCUUGAAAUAGAAGAACGAGUCCUUCGUGUCUUCUCAGCCUGCCUCGAAACUGUGCUAUUUCUUUUUACAAGAAUACUCCUUCAAAUCUAAGGAAACGCGUAGAGAGAAAGCAUGGUAGCCAACAUUAAAAGGUAUGUUACUGUAACAUCAUCAAGGAAAAGAAACCUGGAAAGUGAGGAGGCUCCAUCAACCUCCAGAUAGUAAAAGAAAACUCCUGUGAACCUGUGCUUAAUUCAAGUUUUUACUACACUUAAACUGUUAAAUUAUUUAACAAAUAAAUCAUGAAAUGAGA